rnacentral:rRNA from 1 species
CGAUGGAGGGGGAUAACUACUGGAAACGGUAGCUAAUACCGCAUAACGUCGCAAGACCAAAGAGGGGGACCUUAGGGCCUCUUGCCAUCGGAUGUGCCCAGAUGGGAUAGCUAGUAGGUGGGGUAACGGCUCACCUAGGCGACGAUCCCUAGCUGGUCUGAGAGGAUGACCAGCCACACUGGAACUGAGACACGGUCCAG